CUUGUAUUGUUCGACCUUACUGGAUUGGUCGGGCCGUGAAGUGGUCCCAGGAAAUAGCUCCAGCUUAUAGCCCGUACCCUAAACCGACACAGGUGGACUGGCAGAGUAUGCUAAGGCGCUUGAGAGAACUGUAUUGAAGGAACUAGGCAAAUUGCUCUCGUAACUUCGGAAGAAGAGAGCCCGGUUUUUACGCAAGUAGAAGCCGGGGGCACAUAGCAGGGGGUGGCGACUGUUUUACUAAAAACACAGGACGCUGCGAAAUCCAAAGAUGACGUAUAGCGUCUGACGCCUGCCCGGUGCUGGAAGGUUAAGAGGAGAUGUGAAAGCGUUGAAUCGAAGCCCCAGUAAACGGCGGCCGUAACUAUAACGGUCCUAAGGUAGCGAAAUUCCUUGUCGGGUAAGUUCCGACCUGCACGAAAGGCGUAACGACUUCCCCACUGUCUCCAAUACAGGCUCAGCGAAAUUGAAUUCCCCGUGAAGAUGCGGGGUUCCCGCGGUCAGACGGAAAGACCCCGUGCACCUUUACUGCAACUUUACACUGGCAUUAGGAAUGGGAUGUGUAGAAUAGGUGGUAGGCAUUGAAACCGCGGCGCUAGCUGUGGUGGAGCCGAAAUGUGAAAUACCACCCUUCUUGUUCCUGAUGUCUAACCGCGGUCCCGAAACGGGAUCCGAGACAGUGUAUGGUAGGCAGUUUGACUGGGGCGGUCGCCUCCCAAAGAGUAACGGAGGCGCGCGAUGGUAGGCUCAAUCCGGUCGGAAAUCGGAUGGUGAGUGCAAUGGCAAAAGCCUGCCUGACUGCAAGGUCGACGGACCAAGCAGAGACGAAAGUCGGUCAUAGUGAUCCGGUGAUCCCGAAUGGAAGGGUCAUCGCUCAACGGAUAAAAGGUACGCCGGGGAUAACAGGCUGAUCGCACCCAAGCGUCCAUAGCGACGGUGCGGUUUGGCACCUCGAUGUCGGCUCAUCACAUCCUGGGGCUGUAGCCGGUCCCAAGGGUAUGGCUGUUCGCCAUUUAAAGUGGUACGUGAGCUGGGUUUAGAACGUCGUGAGACAGUUCGGUCCCUAUCUGCCGUGGGUGUUCGAAACUUGAGAAGACUUUUUCCUAGUACGAGAGGACCGGAAAGAACGUAUCUCUGGUGGACCGGUUGUGGCGCCAGCCGCAUAGCCGGGUAGCUAAAUACGGACGAGAUAACCGCUGAAAGCAUCUAAGCGGGAAACUCACUUCAAAACUAGGUUUCGCUUGAGAGCCGGGGAAGACUACCCCGUCGAUAGGCCAGGUGUGUAAGCGCAGCAAUGCGUUGAGCUUACUGGUACUAAUUGCCCAA
rnacentral:rRNA from 1 species